UACAGAGGUCUCAAGCGUUGUUCGGAUUCAUUGGGCGUAAAGGGCGCGUAGGCGGCCUGUUAAGUCGAACGUGAAAUCCCCCGGGCUCAACCCGGGAACUGCGUCCGAUACUGGCAGGCUUGAAUCCGGGAGAGGGAUGCGGAAUUCCAGGUGUAGCGGUGAAAUGCGUAGAUAUCUGGAGGAACACCGGUGGCGAAGGCGGCAUCCUGGACCGGCAUUGACGCUGAGGCGCGAAAGCCAGGGGGAGCAAAACGGG
rnacentral:rRNA from 1 species